GACGAACGCUGGCGGCGUGCUUAACACAUGCAAGUCGAGCGGUAAGGCCCUUUCGGGGGUACACGAGCGGCGAAACGGGUGAGUAACACGUGGGUGACCUGCCUUUAGCUCUGGGAUAAGCCUGGGAAACCGGGUCUAAUACCGGAUAUGACUCCGCGGCGCAUGUUGUGGGGUGAAAGCCUUGUGCGGCUGGAGAUGGGCCCGCGGCCUAUCAGCUUGUUGGUGGGU
rnacentral:rRNA from 1 species